GUGAACGCUGGCGGUAGGCCUAACACAUGCCAGUCGAACGGCAGCACAGUAAGAGCUUGCUCUUACGGGUGGCGAGUGGCGGACGGGUGAGGAAUACAUCGGAAUCUACUUUUUCGUGGGGGCUAACGUAGGGAAACUUACGCUAAUACCGCAUACGACUUACGGGUGAAAGCAGGGGAUCUUCGGACCUUGCGCGAUUGAAUGAGCCGAUGUCGGAUUAGCUAGUUGGCGGGGUAAAGGCCCACCAAGGCGACGAUCCGUAGCUGGUCUGAGAGGAUGAUCAGCCACACUGGAACUGAGACACGGUCCAGACUCCUACGGGAGGCAGCAGUGGGGAAUAUUGGACAAUGGGCGCAAGCCUGAUCCAGCCAUACCGCGUGGGUGAAGAAGGCCUUCGGGUUGUAAAGCCCUUUUGUUGGGAAAGAAAAGCAGCAGGUUAAUACCCCGCUGUUCUGACGGUACCCAAAGAAUAAGCACCGGCUAACUUCGUG
rnacentral:rRNA from 1 species